CCAGGAUUGAAUGUUUAUGCCAAUAGGACAAAACAAAGUCCUGUUUGCUUUCCUGAUUCACAGAGGCCCCUGACCCUAUGAAUGCUUUCCAAGUUGUAGCUGUGUUUUAAUUCAAUUCCAACCUCUCUGAAGCUGUGUACCUUCUCUGUAGAAGAUUUUACAUGGUAAAACUAGAUAAACCAAGAAGUUUCUUAAUGGGUAACUUAGUUAAUCAGAAAUUGGAUCAUUUACGUAGUCUAAACAGGCUCUUGCCUUAGACAAUGUGUUACCUCAAAGAUCAGGGGAAGCACCAAGCACCCUAGAGAAGAAGGGCUUGGAGAGUCUGACAAUCUGAAGCUUCUGCCUGAGAGCUGAAGGAAUCAGAAAAUGAGCUUGAGAGGUUUCUAGAGGCAAAGCAGCUGGUCUGCCUGAGGCUGACAGUGGAGGGGAAAGAGAGGAAGAAGCAGUAAAGGGAGUCAUUUCCAUCCAAGGAUCAGAAGAAAGACUUGGUUUUAACUUGCUGGUUUUGAGCCUGGAGAAAUACAUCCAAACCACCAGUUACAUGUUGGAGGCAUCAGUCUGGGCCCAGUUUUAUUUUCACAAAAUCUACAUGUGGAGCUAGAUGAUCAACCCUAUGCCUCUGUUUUUCAUCAAAUACUAUCAUCUCUAGAGAGCAAUAAAGCAAUGUUGGAGAAGGCCGAUGAACUGUGUGAAUUCCCUUGCAAAAUAAAUUGUACUGUAUUGUUUGGAAAUGAUACACUGAUGCUCUGAUAUUCUGCUAAUCUUAACAUUCCUGAAUUUGUCACUUGGAAUGCCAGAGAUACAUGCCUGCUUUUGGAAACCAUUCUGUUGUAUGGGUAGUGUUAUUACACAGUCUGUGAAAGAUGGUGAACAGUUAUUCUCCACCAAGAACGCAAGCUAGAUAAAAGGAAAAGAAAAACAAUGACAACAAUGACGUUUUGCUUAGUAAGCAAUGGAGUGGCAUCAAGGAGACCUGAGUUAAAAACCUCAUUCUGAAACAAAAAGCAGUGUGCAUGCCUCAAUCUCCCUCACGUCAAAUAUUCAGUCAGUUGACAAUUCUUGCCAUUAUCAUCUCUGUAAUGUUUCUAAUAAUGAAUUCCCUUUCCCUUCCCAACUUCUUUCCCCUAGAAUAACACUAAGGAAUAUGUAUUAUUACACUAAAUUGCAUAAACAUG
rnacentral:lncRNA from 1 species